CCUGCAAGAUCCCCAGCAGAGUCGCCAGAGGUGUCACACUCUUUUUUUACAAACUCACUUAACCCUGUUAAAUUAAUAAAAAAGAUUUGUAAAGCUCAAAAGGGCUUUUAAUUAAAAAGUGACAAAAUUGUGUUCCAAAGGAAAUAACUCAGAUUCGCCACCUGACUUUGAUUUCGGUGUGCCAGGUCACCGUUUUAAAAAAAAAAAAUUUCCUUUAAAAUACUUUGGACUCCAAAACUAAGUCCGCACCAGAGAUUCAGGUAAGGGGGUUCAUUUGACUCGGGAAGAAGGUGUUAGACACUCCCCAAGUCCCGUAACUAGUACGGUUGCAUGCUUGAUCUAGUCUAUUUUUAAAAUAUUCAAUUUAAGGUGAAAACACAUAAAAGGAAAGUAAACAUAAAAAAGGCUCGAGGUCGUCCCCUCCUAAUAAAGAAAAUAUAAAAAAAGAAAUAAGGAAGAAUCUUAAAUACUAACAUGUACUAUAUUGUUCCAUAGCUUCGUCAUGGCCUCCAAAUACAUUAUACUAUGGGGCAUUACCCGUAAUAAAGUAGGUACAAAUCCUUCGGGGCAUUCCCCAGAUAAAUUUAACUAAGGGAAAAACCUCUCACCUUGAAACCAACGAAAAUCUUAAGGCUUGCCUACCCAAAUGUGGUUGGCCUAAACAUGCUCCUAGCGAUUAUGAAAGAAAAGUCAAAAUUAAGCUAAAAUAGAGAUAUUCCAUGAUCAUGUUCAAUCUUUAUUUCAUUUGUGAUUUCACUCUCCCUGGUCCAGCAAUCAGUCAAACAACUUCAACAAAGACCAAACGAGUAAACAGUAACAAUCAAAGACAUGAAAUGAAGAAAGAGCUAAUUAAUUAGACUGAAAAGAAAGAAAGGAACCGAAAAUUGAUCCAAGCAUGACAAGAGCCGCAAGUAUGUAAAAGCUGAAAUUUAACUUUACUAAAGGUGCAAUCUAAAGUUAUGAAGAUUCUGAGAUUAGUUCAUGCCCUUAAUCACGUAGGGAACCUUAUUGUAUAAAACAAAAGUAAAUAUAAUCUGCCAGCUAUAGCUAUAAGACAUGGAUAGUAUACUAUAAUUUCAAACAAUAAAAGCUCAUUAAUUUAGCUAAUCCAAUUUCAUGACUUCUGACCAUGCAAAUUUAGAAAAUAGUCAACCUCCUACUAUCUCCGAUUGUAAUUUUCAUAUCCAAAGGCAAAACAAUCAUAUAAUACGUUACUAGACCAUUAUAGUACUAUUUUGUGUGUAUAUAUAUAUAUACACACACACAUAUAUAUGCAAUGUCUACUCCUUUUGAUUCCUUAAUCAACUAAACUCAUGUAACAUUGCCUAGACUUUACCAAUUUAGUAUUAAGUCAUCACAACUAAAAUAAGGUAUGAGAAUCAUGUUUAAGAACUCAUGUAGGCAACAACUAAGGAAGUUUAUGAAGUAAAAUUAUUAUCCUAAAUUAGAUUCAAAUAAGGAAAAGAAACCAAUAAAGAAACAAGAUACGACAGCAGAUACUAAUGUCAAACAUAGAAAGCCUUAAACUCAAAUUAGACACAGACACUCUAAGCAAACAGGGAACAAAAGAAUUCUUGAACUUCAAAACCAAUUAAAAUUUUUAUGCCCCAAAUUUUAAACGACUCUCAUUAUGCUUUUCACAAUAAUUCAGAUUAAGACAAAGAUAGGGGAGAAACCUGGAAUAGCAAAUGCAGCGAUGAGAAUCCGAGGCGACACAGAACCACCGAUCGGAACCCAAAAUGCUCGGACUCGAACUCCCCGGUUUGAACACCAGAAACCGAAAUUGAAAGAAGUAACAGAAAUUUUCGUAUAUUUUUUUGAUUUUUU
rnacentral:lncRNA from 1 species